GCCACUUUAGCUCAGCUGGUAGAGCAACUGACUUGUAAUCAGUAGGUCGUCCGUUCGAAUCGGACAAGUGGCU
rnacentral:tRNA from 1 species